AGCUCGCUGCGGACAGUGGCUGCGUUGGAGCUCCGCGCACAGGGACUGGUCACAGGAUAUACUGGGAUUGAGAGGGUUCCUGAAAUCCGACUCUCGAGGACACGGCCCGUGGGAGAAUUGAACUCACAACCUUGGCACUACCUGGACUGUGCUCCGACUGACUGAGCCCUCUGCAUCCCAGGUACUUCCCAGUGGCACUGCUCAGACACCAGAGCUCCAGCUGCAGCAGCAGCUGGAGCACCCCAGAAUGGAGGUGAGCUGACAGGAGCUUCACAGUGACAGGGUUCAGACCAGGCUGAGGAAUAGAGCGCAGCUCCAACGCCAGGAACCAGCUCUCCAGUGCAGGAUGUCUGAAAAUCAAGGGAUUUGGUACCUUGUCAUUUGAAGACACUUCUGUCAUCAGAGGCUCCUCAUCCAUGAAGAGAUCCCAUCAGCCUGAUGCUCCUCCUGCUUCUGCUGCUGCUCCAGCUUUAUUUCAUUGUCCCGGCACAACAAGAUGCUCAGCAGGUCCACACAGAGAUCAACAAGCUGAGGACCCAAAGUUUUACCAAGCUAUGAAAACAAAGACAUGUUGGAAGUGAAGAAAAGAGGAGGAUGGGAGCAGACAGGUAAUUAUACAGCAGGAAUAGGAGUUAACUAAGAACUACUUAGAUUACAACCUCUUCUGGGGGAAGGAACCACCUCCCUUAAUAGGAACCUGAUUCUAAGAGAAGUCUCAGGUUGCCAAAUAAAUAGUGAUAGAAUUUCAUUUACACAUAUAUAUAUUCAUUUAUACAUUAUAUAUAUAACAUUUGGAGGUACACAGGCCAGUGAAUUUUACUCUCUGCAAAGGCUUCCUGGGGAGACCCAGGAGCUGGAUUAAAAUCUCGAGGUUAUUUGCACUCACACCGAUCAGCAAGGUAACCCAUGCAAAGUAAAUCCAAAGCAAAUCCUCAAUAAUAAGAACUGGCAUUUGUUUACAAAUUACAUGCAGUUUUGUACGGUGCUGUGCAGCCUCAGAGACAAGCACAGAAAAAAGAGCUACAGAACUGGAACCUAAGUUUGAACAGCUAAGUCAUUUGUACCUUCUACAUGAAAAUAAAUCAAACAUAACCACAA